rnacentral:rRNA from 1 species
UACGAGUGCCUCAAGCGUUAUCCGGAAUCAUUGGGCGUAAAGGAUGUGUAGGUGGUUGUGUUAGUCUCUUGUUAAAUUCUUCGGCUUAACCGGGGGCAUGCAAGGGAAACGGCACGACUAGAGGAUGCGAGGGGUCUGCGGAACUCAUAGUGUAGCGGUGAAAUGCGUUGAUAUUAUGGGGAACACCAAAAGCGAAGGCAGCAGACUGGAGCACUCCUGACACUGAAACAUGAAAGCGUGGGUCGCGAAUGGG